UACAGAGGUCUCAAGCGUUGUUCGGAUUCAUUGGGCGUAAAGGGUGUGUAGGUGGCGACGUAAGUCGGGUGUGAAAUCUCGGGGCUUAACUCCGAAACUGCAUUCGAUACUGCGGUGCUUGAGGACUGGAGAGGAGACUGGAAUUCAUGGUGUAGCAGUGAAAUGCGUAGAGAUCAUGAGGAAGACCAGUGGCGAAGGCGGGUCUCUGGACAGUUCCUGACACUGAGACACGAAGGCCAGGGGAGCAAACGGG
rnacentral:rRNA from 1 species